rnacentral:rRNA from 1 species
AACGAACGCUGGCGGCAGGCCUAACACAUGCAAGUCGAACGCACCGCAAGGUGAGUGGCGCACGGGUGAGUAACACGUGGGAAUGUACCCUUUGGUUCGGAAUAACGUCUGGAAACGGACGCUAAUACCGGAUGAGCCCUGCGGGGGAAAGAUUUAUCGCCAAAGGAGCAGCCCGCGUCUGAUUAGCUAGUUGGUGGGGUAAAGGCCUACCAAGGCGACGAUCAGUAGCUGGGCUGAGAGGAUGAUCAGCCACACUGGGACUGAGACACGGCCCAGACUCCUACGGGAGGCAGCAGUGGGGAAUAUUGGACAAUGGGCGGAAGCCUGAUCCAGCCAUGCCGCGUGAGUGAUGAAGGCCUUCGGGUUGUAAAGCUCUUUCGCACGCGACGAUGAUGACGGUAGCGUGAGAAGAAGCCCCGGCUAACUUCGUGCCAGCCGCCGCGGUAAUAC